ACAGGUCAUCGAAGCAGGGCGAAGUUUUCUGUACAUCUCGCAUUGUGACCAUCUGUUGUUAACGCAUGGUUUCAAUGGGAUAUGUUGAUAAAGCUUCCGUCGAGGUCAACAUCCGAGGC
rnacentral:precursor_RNA from 8 species